rnacentral:rRNA from 1 species
CUUUUGACCUCGGAUCAGGCAGGGAUACCCGCUGAACUUAAGCAUAUCAAUAAGCGGAGGAAAAGAAACCAACAGGGAUUGCCCUAGUAACGGCGAGUGAAGCGGCAACAGCUCAAAUUUGAAAUCUGGCUCUUUUAGAGUCCGAGUUGUAAUUUGCAGAGGGCGCUUUGGCUUUGGCAGCGGUCCAAGUUCCUUGGAACAGGACGUCACAGAGGGUGAGAAUCCCGUACGUGGUCGCUGGCUAUUGCCGUGUAAAGCCCCUUCGACGAGUCGAGUUGUUUGGGAAUGCAGCUCUAAAUGGGAGGUACAUUUCUUCUAAAGCUAAAUAUUGGCCAGAGACCGAUAGCGCACAAGUAGAGUGAUCGAAAGAUGAAAAGCACUUUGGAAAGAGAGUCAAACAGCACGUGAAAUUGUUGAAAGGGAAGCGCUUGCAGCCAGACUUGCUUACAGUUGCUCAUCCGGGUUUCUACCCGGUGCACUCUUCUGUAGGCAGGCCAGCAUCAGUUUGGGCGGUAGGAUAAAGGUCUCUGUCACGUACCUCCUUUCGGGGAGGCCUUAUAGGGGAGACGACAUACUACCAGCCUGGACUGAGGUCCGCGCAUCUGCUAGGAUGCUGGCGUAAUGGCUGUAAGCGGCCCGUCUUGAAACACGGACCAAGGAGUCUAUCAUCUAUGCGAGUGUUUGGGUGUCAAGCCCGAGCGCGUAAUGAAAGUGAACGGAGGUGGGAACCCGCAAGGGUGCACCAUCGACCGAUCCUGAUGUCUUCGGAAGGAUUUGAGUAAGAGCAUGGCUGUUGGGACCCGAAAGAUGGUGAACUAUGCUUGAAUAGGGUGAAGCCAGAGGAAACUCUGGUGGAGGCUCGCAGCGGUUCUGACGUGCAAAUCGAUCGUCAAAUUUGGGCAUAGGGGCGAAAGACUAAUCGAACCAUCUAGU